rnacentral:tRNA from 1 species
AGAGAGGUGGCCGAGUGGUCGAAGGCGCACGCCUGGAAAGUGUGUAUAUCCCAAAAGGAUAUCAAGGGUUCGAAUCCCUUCCUCUCUG